GUCGUUUUUGCAAAGGAUCUUGCUCAAGCGUUUUCCUUGCCCAUGGUACCAGACGAUGGAUCCUAACUACUUUUCAUGGGCUAACUUCCAAUGCACACGCCCAGGACGGAUCAUCACCCGUGCAAUUGUAAGACUAUGAGCCUGUUUGGUUUGAUGCCCGUAGUUUGGUUAACUUUUUCUUCUCUACUGUUGUGGGUAAAUAUUGUGAAAAGCAGGAUCCUACACUUGCUGUUGUUGCUUAUAGACGUGGGCAGUGUGACGAUGAACUUAUUAACGUCACUAACAAGAAUUCGUUAUUCAAGCUGCAAGCUAGGUAUGUGGUUGAGAGAAUGGAUGGUGAUCUGUGGGAUAAAGUUCUUCAGCCCGAGAAUGAAUAUAGAAG